CCUACGGGAGGCUGCAGUGGGGAAUAUUGCACAAUGGGGGAAACCCUGAUGCAGCGACGCCGCGUGAGUGAAGAAGUAUCUUGGUAUGGUAAGCUCCUGUAGUAUGGAAGCAAAAGGACGGUACCUGAGCACGAAGCCACGACUAACUUCGCGCAAGCCGCCGCGGUACUACGUAGGGGGCAAGCGUUAUCCGGAUUUACUGGGCGUAAGGGGAGCGUAGCCGGCGAAGAAAGUCUGAAGUGAAAGCCCGCGGCUCAACCGGGGGAUGGCUUUGGAAAUUGUUGUGCUGGAGUACCGGAGAGGUAAGCGGAAUUCCUGGUGUAGCAGUGAAAUGCGUAGAUAUUAGGAGGAACACGAGUGGCGAAGGCGGGUUACUGGACGGUAACUGACGUUGAGGCACGAAGGCGUGGGGAGCGAACGGGAUUAGAUACCCUAGUAGUC
rnacentral:rRNA from 1 species